rnacentral:rRNA from 1 species
UACGAAGGGUGCAAGCGUUAUUCGGAUUUAUUGGGCGUAAAGGGUGCGUAGGUGGUGUGUUAAGUCUGUUGUUAAAUUUUCCGGCCUAACCGGAAAUCUGCAAUGGAAACUGGCGCACUUGAGAGUGGAAGAGGGAAGUGGAAUUCUCGGAGUAGCGGUAAAAUGCGUGGAUCUCGAGAGGAACACCGAUGGCGAAGGCAGCUUCCUGGUCCAUUUCUGACACUGAUGCACGAAAGCGUGGGGAGCAAACAGG